rnacentral:misc_RNA from 1 species
UAUCGCAUCGUUCGGAGCUUCCUGGGACUGCUUUGGCUUUGUGGCUUGCUUGGCCUUCUGGUUAGGUGGGUUGCUUGGCCUUCUGCUUUGGUGGCUCGCUUGGCCUUCUGGUUGGGUGGGUUUCCAUUAGUAGGGCGGAUCCCGUCGAGGAUGAUGACCGGGGAGGUGCAUGAGUGGUGUUUGGUUUGUUACGUGUGGAUGGCUGUGUGCUUGCGCAACAACGUCCACGCUGCAUACCUCUUCARUAAUGCGGCAAGACUCUGUUUGUCUUGANCAUAUGGUGGGUUUUCUGUGUUGCAUACCUAGUCGACGGAAAGGUGUGGGUUUUAAGAUAUUCCUUUUCGUCGUGCGUCNUUCAUGCGGCGUGCGAUGGACGAUGAAGCGGUCUUCGUGAUCCACCGUGUUGUUGCAUUUUCAACAACGAUGUGGSCUAUGAAGCAUCGUUGGUCUCUUGUAUAUGGAACCUGAUGUGGGCUUGGGUCUUUAUAGAUCUUCAUUUUUGCCCUCGUUARGCGUUCYCGCUUCUCCAAAACGAWUGUCUGCCAKGUCUUGGCUUGUCCUUGCAUGGUGGGCUAUGUCA